GCGUAAUUGGUUUAGUGGUAAAAUUCUCCGUUGCCAUUCGAGUAACAUCGGGGAGCCCUGGGUUCGAUUCCCAGAUUACGCA
rnacentral:tRNA from 4 species